GGAUUACGGUGGCGGCCUAAGC
rnacentral:siRNA from 1 species